rnacentral:rRNA from 1 species
UACGUAUGGUGCAAGCGUUGUUCGGAAUUAUUGGGCGUAAAGGGUAUGUAGGCGGAAUUAUAAGUCAGGUGUGAAAACCACGGGCUCAACCCGUGGCCUGCACUUGAUACUGUGAUUCUAGAGUUUGGGAGAGGCAAGCGGAAUUCCUGGUGUAGCGGUGAAAUGCGUAGAUAUCAGGAGGAACACCGGUGGCGAAAGCGGCUUGCUGGCCUAAAACUGACGCUGAGAUACGAAAGUGUGGGGAGCGAACGGG